rnacentral:rRNA from 1 species
CGCGUAGGUGGCCAAUUAAGUCAAAUGUGAAAUCCCCGAGCUUAACUUGGGAAUUGCAUUCGAUACUGGUUGGCUAGAGUAUGGGAGAGGAUGGUAGAAUUCCAGGUGUAGCGGUGAAAUGCGUAGAGAUCUGGAGGAAUACCGAUGGCGAAGGCAGCCAUCUGGCCUAAUACUGACGCUCAUGCACGAAAGCGUGGGGAGCAAACAGGAUUAGAUACCCCCGUA